GACGAACGCUGGCGGCGUGCUUAACACAUGCAAGUCGAACGGAAAGGCCUUUUCGGAGGUACUCGAGUGGCGAACGGGUGAGUAACACGUGGGUGAUCUGCCCUGCACUCUGGGAUAAGCCUGGGAAACUGGGUCUAAUACCGGAUAGGACCGCACCUUCGUUCGUGUGGGGGAAAGUUUUUUCGGUGUAGGAUGAGCCCGCGGCCUAUAAGCUUGUUGGUGGGGUAAUGGCCUACCAAGGCGGCGACGGGUAGCCGGACUGGGAGGUUGGUCGGCCACAUUGGGCCUGAGAGACGGCCCAGACUCCUACGGGAGGCAGCAGUGGGGAGUAUUGCACCAUGGGCGCGAGCCUGAUGCAGCGACGCCGCGUGGGGGAUGACGGCCUUCGGGUUGUAAACUCCUUUCGCCAGGGACGAAGCGUUUUGUGACGGUACCUGGAGAAGAAGCACCGGCUAACUACGUG
rnacentral:rRNA from 1 species